rnacentral:lncRNA from 1 species
GCUAUGUUUUAUUCUGUAGAAAUUAAAUCCUAAUUACGAAAGAAAUAAAUUCCUAAGGACCUAAAAAUAAAUAAAUAAUAAGACAAGAGUCCCCUCUUUUAUUUUCUUGACUCAUUCCCCUUGUCAAGAAUGUUGGCCUUAUAACAUAUGACCUUAUAAUAUACAAAUGCUAACAUGGCAACACUUGUAACAUAAGAAUAAAACAUCAAAACAUAUUAUAGCAACAAGGUAACCAAAUAAUAUAUUAAUUACCCAUAUGUUAUUUAAACAUUUAAAACAUUAAUUAAGGUAUUUAUUUGUACAUGUACUUACCUCGG